UACAUGGUUUUGAAAAAAAACUUUUUUGCAAAUUCACGAAAGUACAUAUGUUAUUCUUGUAUUAUACAACAAAUUUUUUAAUGUUUGAUUAACAUGUAAGAAAAUGAUUGCAUGGGUAGUUUCCUUGUAUUUCAUAGGAGAUAAGAAAACUGCAAUGUCAGAAAAAUACUUUAUAAAAGCAUAAUACGGAUUUAUAUAUGCUUUAGUACGGUUUAAAGAUUCAAUAAUGUUGACUAUACUAUUAGUAUUUUUAUUUCUAUAUGCUUGGUGGAGAUUGUUCUCCAAAGAAGUAAGUAACAUACCAGGACCUCUCUGCAUUCCAUUCCUCGGGUGUCCGUUGUGGUUAACGUCUAAAAGAGGUUUUCUAGACUGGCUGACUCAUCCUAGUGUAAUCAAGAACCCAAUAUCUUUUAUACAAAUUGGACCGACUGUUAAAUAUUACAUCAUCAAUGACUUCAGAAUUAUGAAAGAGCUGUUUUCUAAAGAAGAAUUUUCCCAUCGUUCUGCUGCCGAUUUCCAGCUCAAGCUUAGGUUUGUAACUGUAAACAAACCUGAUGGUAUUAUGCUCACUAACGGAGAUCAAUGGAGUCAUCAACGACGUUUUGCUCUGAAAACACUGAAAGAUUUUGGUUUUGGUAAGCAAUCUUUGGAAAGUACAAUCAAUACUGAGAUUGAGGAGAUGAUCACCAAGUACAGUUUACAUCAAGGAGAUAUCAAGAUCGGAUCUGAUUUUAAUAUUCCAGUUAUUAGUAUACUAUGGAAGAUAGUCUCUGGAUCAAGAAUAACUAUAAAUUCAACCGAGGCCGUUCGAAUGGUUGAACUUGUAAAUGAAAUUUUUGCAAAAGGAGAUUUUCAUUUGAGAGUUCUGCCCUACAGCUUUUUGAAGCAUUUUCCCAAUGUAACUGGUUAUAAAAACAGAGCUGAAAUUCUUAAAGAGCUCAAAGCAUUUAUGCUAAAAAUAAUUGAUGAACAUGAAGAAAGAUUUGAAGCUGGUCAACUUAAAGAUUUUAUAGAUGUUUAUCUAGAUCAGAUGCAAUCUGACAAUAGUGGAAAGUAUUCAAAAGAAGAUCUAUGUGCUUCCAUGAUAGAUUUCUUCCAAGCUGGAACAGAAACCACUUCAAUUACGCUUAAAUGGGUUCUACUCUACCUGGCUUUAAAUCAGGUCUGUCAGAAUUUAAAAAAAAAAUCUGCGAAACUAUAUCAUCAUGUUUACUGCGGAAAAAAGGCUUUUUCUCGAAAAUUUGAAUUGCAAUUAUUCUUUUCAACGAAUUUUAUCUACGUAAUUUCACGUGACACUACAUUUAAAGAAUUAUAUGGACAAUUGACAAAAUUAUGCCAUUUAAAGGACGCUGGCUGUCCCUUUGUGUGUAUUUGCAGGAUGACCAAGAAGCAUGUAGAAGAGAGAUAAAAGAGGUUCUGGGAGAAACCAGAGCAGAGGUGGCUCAUAUGUCAAGUCUUCCAUAUACCGUGGCGACAAUAACGGAGAUUCAGAGAUUAUCCAGUGUAG
rnacentral:misc_RNA from 1 species